UGGGAUCAUGACCUGAGCGAAGGCAGACGUUUAACUAAUUGAGCCACCCAGGUGCCCCUUGUAAGGGAGCUGAGCCACCAGCAGUGAUGAUGGAGGCUGAGGAAGGAGUUCAGAGGACACAAGAGGGAAUACUUUCCAGCCUUGAGAAACUACCACAAAAAGGGCAGAUACAGCUUCUACACACUUUUUUCCAGCAAAUAGCCCCAAUUUCUUUUUAACUGGAAUCAUGGAAAAUCUCAGAAAGUAAAGCAUGUGGAUUUCAACUCCUGUAUUUAACUUCACUCUGGCAAUGUUAAUUCUGCAUUUUAUUUCACAGCAAAGAAGGACCAAUGAAUAAUAUUGAUAAUGCUAUUGAUUAUAAAAAUUUUAUUCUAUUUUA